rnacentral:rRNA from 1 species
AUUGAACGCUGGCGGCAUGCCUUACACAUGCAAGUCGAACGGUAACGCGGGGCAACCUGGCGACGAGUGGCGAACGGGUGAGUAAUGCAUCGGAACGUGCCCAGUAGUGGGGGAUAGCCCGGCGAAAGCCGGAUUAAUACCGCAUACGACCUACGGGUGAAAGCGGGGGACCGCAAGGCCUCGCGCUAUUGGAGCGGCCGAUGUCAGAUUAGGUAGUUGGUGGGGUAAAGGCCUACCAAGCCUGCGAUCUGUAGCUGGUCUGAGAGGACGACCAGCCACACUGGGACUGAGACACGGCCCAGACUCCUACGGGAGGCAGCAGUGGGGAAUUUUGGACAAUGGGGGCAACCCUGAUCCAGCCAUGCCGCGUGCGGGAAGAAGGCCUUCGGGUUGUAAACCGCUUUUGUCAGGGAAGAAAUCCUCUGAGUUAAUACCUCGGGGGGAUGACGGUACCUGGAGAAUAAGCACCGGCUAACUACGUG